AUGGCAGAAUAGUGCAAUGGAUUUAAACCCCAUAUAUAAAGUUAUUUAAACUUUUU
rnacentral:tRNA from 1 species